rnacentral:lncRNA from 1 species
CCCAGACAUCAAAAUGAAGUUAUUGCAUAGAAAACAAUACAUGUACAAACAGAAUAUAUAAUUUCAUUUAAGUGAUCUGUAAUUUGUUACAAAUUAGCCCUAGCUUCCAGGUGUUUUCUCUAGUUCCCCACCAAAAUGAAAAUAAGACUAAAAUUUAAAAUGUUUGUUUCCGCUCUCCCCCCAUGUAAUCAUGCUGUGACAUCCAGUUAAAAAAAAAGUUAACCUGCCUUCCUGGUCUGUUUACAAAGGAUAGUCCCAGGGAGGGCAAACAGAUAUUCUUUUAGUUGCGGCCUAAAUUCACAAUCUACUUGUGCAUGUAUGUCUUUUAGAAUCUACUGAUCGUAAAGCAGUGCAAUUUAGGUAGGGGACCCUCAUCUGGAGUUUUUUUUAAACAAUCCUUUUGUAUUGCUAAGAAGCUUAAAAUUAUCAUGACCCCCUCUAAGAAUCUAAGAAGAAAAUUAGAUACCCCCCCCCCCUUUUUGACCAAAAAAAAAUGAACCAGUUAUUAGACUAGCUUUCAACUUUGGUAAUGCGGUAAUGCUGUUACAUAUCAUGAAAAUAA